ACGGGACCCGCACAAGCGGUGGAUGAUGUGGUUUAAUUCGAUGCAACGCGAAAACCUUACCCACCUUUGACAUGUACGGAAUCCUUUAGAGAUAGAGGAGUGCUCGAAAGAGAGCCGUAACACAGGUGCUGCAUGGCUGUCGUCAGCUCGUGUCGUGAGAUGUUGGUUAAGUCCCGCAACGAGCGCAACCCUUGUCAUUAGUUGCUACAUUCAGUUGGGCACUCUAAUGAGACUGCCGGUGACAAACCGGAGGAAGGUGGGGAUGACGUCAAGUCCUCAUGGCCCUUAUAGGUGGGGCUACACACGUCAUACAAUGGAUGGUACAAAGGGUCGCCAACCCGCGAGGGGGAGCCAAUCCCAUAAAGCCAUUCGUAGUCCGGAUCGCAGUCUGCAACUCGACUGCGUGAAGUCGGAAUCGCUAGUAAUCGUGGAUCAGAAUGUCACGGUGAAUACGUUCCCGGGUCUU
rnacentral:rRNA from 1 species